UACGAAGGGGGCUAGCGUUGCUCGGAAUUACUGGGCGUAAAGGGCGUGUAGGCGGCUCUGUUAGUCAGGCGUGAAAGCCCUGGGCUCAACCUGGGGACUGCGCUUGACGUACGGCGGGGCUUGAGGGCAGGAGGAGGCUCGCGGAAUUCCCAGGUGUAGAGGUGGAAAUUCGUAGAUAUUGGGAAGAACACCGGUGGCGAAGGCGGCGAAGCUGGCCUGUUACUGGA
rnacentral:rRNA from 1 species